rnacentral:lncRNA from 1 species
UCAUGAACGAUAUUCCCGUAUACCAAUGAAUCAACCUAGGGUUUUUAGGCUUCCAUGAGAGCAAAGCAGCCCUUCUUUUCUAUUUUGCGUGAAUACUCAAUUGUCCUUGAAACCCUAGCUGUGUUUUUGCUUAAGUACUCAGAGAAAAUUGGGCUUAAAAAGCUACGGGUCGAAAAACAUAAGUUUGACCCGAAAUUACAUUAUUUUCAUAAAGUCUGGAACAUAAACGUAAAUAUUUGACUGCUUUUCUCUCCGAACUGGGUUCUGGCCUUAACAUGAAAGUUGUAGCUCUUUCUCUUGUCUUUCCAACGCAUAUUUGCACACCUCAAUCCGAUACUCGUAGCUCAAGUUAUGACCUGCGGACUGAGAAGGAUCAACAUGCAAUUAAAUCCGAAAAUUAAUCAAAGAAAUACAUUAGAGCUCAAUUAUGACCCAAAGUUUAGAAACAUGGUAAAAAGUUAAUAUUA